UACGAAGGGGGCUAGCGUUGUUCGGAAUCACUGGGCGUAAAGCGCACGUAGGCGGACUGGUCAGUUGGGGGUGAAAUCCCAGGCCUCAACCCUGGAACUGCCUCCAAUACUGCCAGUCUUGAGUCCGAGAGAGGUGAGUGGAAUUCCUAGUGUAGAGGUGAAAUUCGUAGAUAUUAGGAAGAACACCAGUGGCGAAGGCGGCUCACUGGUCCGGUACUGACGCUGAGGUGCGAAAGCGUGGGGAGCAAACAGG
rnacentral:misc_RNA from 1 species